AUCCAGCUGACGAGUCUUAAAUAGAACGAAACGCAUGUCCUGGAU
rnacentral:hammerhead_ribozyme from 1 species